AGUGGCGCACGGGUGAGUAACGCGUGGGAACCUACCUAUCGGUACGGAGUAACACAGGGAAACUUGUGCUAAUACCGUAUGAGCUCUACGGAGGAAAGAUUUAUCGCCGAUAGAUGGGCCCGCGUCCGAUUAGCUAGUUGGUGAGGUAACGGCUCACCAAGGCUUCGAUCGGUAGCUGGUCUGAGAGGAUGAUCAGCCACACUGGGACUGAGACACGGCCCAGACUCCUACGGGAGGCAGCAGUGGGGAAUAUUGGACAAUGGGCGCAAGCCUGAUCCAGCCAUGCCGCGUGAGUGAUGAAGGCCUUAGGGUUGUAAAGCUCUUUCGUCGGGGAAGAUAAUGACGGUACCCGAAGAAGAAGCCUCGGCUAACUCCGUGCCAGCAGCCGCGGUAAUACG
rnacentral:rRNA from 1 species